rnacentral:rRNA from 1 species
AAAACUAGCCAGUCUUUUGGGUAUGAAACCCAUUUGGGCGAGAGUAGUACUAGGAUGGGUGACCUCCUGGGAAGUCCUCGCGAAAGGGUUUC